CAACAGUCAACCGUCGCCGCCGUUUCAAUGGAUUCAAAGCCCCUUCAACCCCGAUCUGAUCGGAGCAAAUGGGGUUUCUCGUCUCCUUCCCGCAAGUAAGUAUUCCUUUUCUCCCUUUUCGUGUAUUUAAAAAAAAUGAAAAAAAGAUUCGGGUAAAAUAAAUAGAAAAGAAAUUGAAGUUCGAAAAAAAACUAUCAACCUUUUGAUUUUUUUUGAUUGAUCUUUGCUUUUUGGUACAUUAUUUGCUAUGAAAAUAAUAACUUUUUUUUGUAUUGAUUUUCGAUCCCCCAUUACAGUAUCGUCAAUGGCUUUAUAUAGCCAUAAUAUAUAAAAAAUAUAGAAAUAAAAUCAUGUUUACAUUGAUUUGAUUCUCAAUCUCUUGCUUUCCUUCCAUAUUUUGCUUUCUUUCCUUGUUGUGCAGGUGAAGAUCGAGGCUGAGAUUCGUGGCUGCGGCGCUUGAGGAUUUCCCUAGAACCCCUAGGGUUUCUGACUAUCGUUUUGGGCAUUUGGGCCACACAUAAUUGGGCCACCGUGCUUUGGGCCCCUGUUGUAUUUUGGGUUUGGGCCAUAUAGGCCAAUUGUAAUUUGGGCCCUUUUAGGCCCGGGCAAAAUCAGUUAUUACAAGAACAACAAAGAGCCUAUAUACAUGCCACAUCCCAAAACAAAAAUACCAAAAGCUACCAAAUGACUGGAUAGUGUGAG
rnacentral:lncRNA from 1 species